rnacentral:rRNA from 1 species
AUGCGGGGAAGGGGAACAGAGCCGGAGGCGGGAGGGUUCGUCGGCCAGAGGAACCAUGCCCAGCGGCGCGGCGGCUCGACCGGAGACGCGCCUGGUGGUCGCCGACGAACUUUGCCCCAGGGACGCGCGGGGUCUGCGAGCUCGGGUGCGCGAGGGGAGGAGCCAGUAGGGUCGAGGAGGUGGGCGCGCGAGGGCGAGCAGGCGGCUGGCGAUGGAGAGCAUCUCAGGCUCGGUUGA